rnacentral:rRNA from 1 species
UACGGGGGGAGCAAGCGUUGUUCGGAUUUACUGGGCGUAAAGGGCGCGUAGGCGGUCGUGACAAGUCACUUGUGAAAUCUCCGGGCUUAACCCGGAAAGGUCAACCGAUACUGCGGGGCUAGAGUGCAGAAGGGGCAACUGGAAUUCUCGGUGUAGCGGUGAAAUGCGUAGAUAUCGAGAGGAACACCUGCGGCGAAGGCGGGUUGCUGGGCUGACACUGACGCUGAGGCGCGAAAGCUAGGGGAGCGAACGGG